rnacentral:lncRNA from 1 species
UAAAAACCCUAGAAGAGUUGUGGUGAGCAUAUUCUUCAGUUGGUUUUUUUACAUUUCUUCGGGGUUGACUUGGCUCCGUGUUAUUAGUUCUGUGCUGGGCAGGCAGAUAAGUGCAUUUUUCUUGGUUAACGUGUAGUGGAAGGAAACACCCUUCAAAGUGGAGUUUGUCAUGGCGAAUUCACGUCAGUAGCAAGGGUAAACGCAUCGAACAGCAGAAGCUUCCAUUUUAGGAAGCUAAACCAAAAAAGACAUGGCGGUCCUUUCGAGUCGACAAUCGACUCCAAUCAUCUUCAAAAGUCUUGUACUUUUCUGGCUCGAGGAACCAAUAGCAGAUAAGUCGACAUAUUCCACGGACCACCAGACAGGGUGAGGAUCUAAGCGCUAUCCGACAUUUUCCCUUAUACGAAACAUGUACUACACAUCAGGGAAAUGUCUAAAAUACAAUGAUAAAGAGAGAUUGGGGGUUAUUUUUUAAAUCUGAAUCAGGAAUUUCAAACACUUGGCGCGCGAAAAAACCAAAAUCAACUUUACUCAAAUCAUUUCUUCAAAGUAAAUAUUUGGUGUGGAAAUUUACCUGCGUCAUGAGCCACUUAUUUCACCAGUGUUUCCUGGGUACCUUAUUCUCCUCCUACACUAUUUGAAAAAAUAUACUGGGCUCCCAUGGUUACUGGAAAUGAGAUCGAGCCAACUGCAUCUCUUCUUUCGGGUCAAAUUUGGCUAAAUAUCAAUACAUUGGACUCGAUCUCGCCUUUCAAAGCUUUUACCAACUUUCAUUGGAUUGGACACUAAUUGACGGUAAAAAAACUCUGAUUUAUUCUAAAUUAUUUCAAUUGCCUCUUUGAAGGCGUUUCAUUUCACCUGAUCUACAAGUCAAUCGACUCGCCAUAUUAUUUUCAAUUGUUCAUGG